CCCUGGUUGAUCCUGCCAGUAGUUAUAUGCUUGUCUCAAAGAUUAAGCCAUGCAUGUCUCAGUGCAAGCCGUAUUAAGGCGAUACCGCGAAUGGCUCAAUAUAUCAGUUUUGGUUCCUUAGAUCUUACUCAGUUACUUGGAUAACUGUGGUAAUUCUAGAGCUAAUACAUGCAAUCAGAACUCUGACCAGUGAUGGGAUGAGUGCUUUUAUUAGAUCAAAACCAAUCGACGGAUGGCCAUGUGUCUGAAGUCGUUAAUUUUGAUGAAUCUGGAUAACUUUUGCCGAUCGCAUGGUCCAGUACCGGCGACGCAUCUUUCAAAUGUCUGCCUUAUCAACUUUCGAUGGUAGUUUCUGCGACUACCAUGGUUGUCACGGGUAACGGGGAAUCAGGGUUCGAUUCCGGAGAGGGAGCCUGAGAAACGGCUACCACAUCCAAGGAAGGCAGCAGGCGCGCAAAUUACCCACUCCCGGCACGGGGAGGUAGUGACGAAAAAUAACGAUACGGGACUCUUACGAGGCCUCGUAAUCGGAAUGAGUACACUUUAAAUAUUUUAACGAGGAACAAUUGGAGGGCAAGUCUGGUGCCAGCAGCCGCGGUAAUUCCAGCUCCAAUAGCGUAUACUAAAAUUGUUGCGGUUAAAAAGCUCGUAGUUGCAUUUGUGCGCCGCGCUGUCGGUGCACCGCAUCCGCGGUGAUACUGACACGUCUGCGGAGCAUAUCGUCGGUGAGCCGGCGGUAAUACGCCGGUUCAAUAUCAAAAUCCUAUCGCGGUGCUCUUCGGUGAGUGUCGAGGUGGGCCGACAAUUUUACUUUGAACAAAUUAGAGUGCUCAAAGCGGGCUCAAAAUGCUGCUUGAAUAUUUCGUGCAUGGAAUAAUAGAAUAUGAUCUCGGUUCUAUUUUGUUGGUUUUCAGAACUCCGAGGUAAUGAUUAAUAGGGAUAACUGGGGGCAUUCGUAUUGCGACGUUAGAGGUGAAAUUCUUGGAUCGUCGCAAGACGAACAUCAGCGAAAGCAUUUGCCAAAGGUGUUUUCAUCAAUCAAGAACGAAAGUUAGAGGUUCGAAGGCGAUUAGAUACCGCCCUAGUUCUAACCGUAAAUAUGUCAUCUAGCGAUCCGCCGACGUUACUACAAUGGCUCGGCGGGCAGCUUCCGGGAAACCAAAGAUUUUGGACUCCGGGGGGAGUAUGGUUGCAAAGCUGAAACUUAAAGGAAUUGACGGAAGGGCACCACCAGGAGUGGAGCCUGCGGCUUAAUUUGACUCAACACGGGAAAUCUCACCAGGCCCGGACACCGGAAGGAUUGACAGAUUAACAGCUCUUUCUUGAUUCGGUGGGUGGUGGUGCAUGGCCGUUCUUAGUUGGUGGAGCGAUUUGUCUGGUUAAUUCCGGUAACGAACGAGACUCUAGCCUGCUAAAUAGGCGUCGUCAUUUAGGUGUGCGUGGCUACGCGUCGAUCGCGCAGACGCAUCUCGACGAGACGUCGAGACGCAUGAUACGCUUACUCGCGAUCAUUGUACGUCCGUCGCGUAAAACGCAAAUACACGUCGUUAAAUGUGCAAGAGCGUCAGACACGUCGUUCGACAAAUGUCCUAUCUAUCGUAUAGAGCGUUAUUUUUGAACGGACCGUCGGUAACAACGUUCAACCCGAAAGAGCGAAGCGUAAACAGCGACGACACUUAUCAAGCGAAACGGACCGACGGAUGGCCGUCAAAUGCGC
rnacentral:rRNA from 1 species